rnacentral:rRNA from 1 species
CAGUAGCCGCGGGAAUACGUAGGUGGCAAGCGUUGUCCGGAAUUAUUGGGCGUAAAGGGCUCGCAGGCGGUUUCUUAAGUCUGAUGUGAAAGCCCCCGGCUCAACCGGGGAGGGUCAUUGGAAACUGGGAAACUUGAGUGCAGAAGAGGAGAGUGGAAUUCCACGUGUAGCGGUGAAAUGCGUAGAGAUGUGGAGGAACACCAGUGGCGAAGGCGACUCUCUGGUCUGUAACUGACGCUGAGGAGCGAAAGCGUGGGGAGCGAACAGGAUUAGAUAUCCCUGUAGUCCCUGUCUCUUAUAC